UACGAAGGGGGCUAGCGUUGUUCGGAAUCACUGGGCUUAAAGGGCGCGUAGGCGGUCCGCCAAGUCAGGGGUGAAAUCCUGCAGCUUAACUGUAGAAGUGCCUCUGAUACUGGCGGUCUUGAGGGAAAUAGGGGUGUGCGGAACUUCCAGUGGAGCGGUGAAAUGCGUUGAUAUUGGAAGGAACGCCGGAGGCGAAAGCGGCGCACUGGAUUUCUUCUGACGCUGAGGCGCGAAAGCUAGGGGAGCAAACGGG
rnacentral:rRNA from 1 species